ACAGUAUAAAUUUGUUGUUUGUUUUUUUUUUUUUCUGGGAUGAGCUGUGGCACAAGGUCCAUGUGAAACUGCCCCGAGAGGACAACACAGCCCAAAAUUAAGUGGCGUGGUUGUUACAGAGAUUUGUCACAUCAACAAGAUGGAGUUCCCUACCCUUGGAUGCUAAGCAGGAGUGACUGUGCAGGAAGAAUCCUACCUAGAAGGGAAAUAAAAAUAAAUCAUCCCCUUAAACACAGUAGAAGAAAUAUGCCCCACAAGUCUUACAAGGUGGCAGAACACGGAGAGUUGUGUAUGAGGUCUGUCUCAGAGCUCCCAAAACAACACAAAGUUCUUUGCUUCGUCCCAAGGUGUGUCUCUUAUUACUUGCUUUCUUACAGGGGGAGGCGGUGGCAGGCGGAACUUGCCCUCCAGACAGCAAGAAACGGAUUUGCUGUUGCGACAAUCAGCCAUUGCAGAGUCCGUGGGGUAGUUUCUGAGCAGGAUUAGCCCCUGCCGCUCCAGCAACAGCUUUCAAGAUCUUGGAGCAUUCCCAGACAAGGAGAACGACCACCACCUCCUAGCAUCUUUAUGGGAAAGCUGCUUUAAGCUUCAUUUUGCUGCUGGGGAAGCAGAAGCGUAAAGAGGCCGAGGUGGGGAAGGUGAGCGCUGUGCUCCCACUGGGGUUAUGCAGCUCCUCUGUCCCACUGUGAGAGAACACAGGCUAAAACAGGCGAUGAGUUCACAUUCGUGCACCAAGGGAUUGGCCCAAGAUCUUAUGGGUGUUAUUUUCUGCUCCCCUUAGCUCUCAGCUGACAGCUACCCCUCUCUACAAAAGGUCUGAUGGACCUCUUGUGGGACAAGCCAUUGCUUUGUACCCGUAAAGGUGGAGGAAACCCCCUCCCUGGGUUCAGCUGAUCUGGGAAUGGGACUUAAGCCCCAAACCUCAGUUUUCUCUUGACACUACUUGACCACGAUCCUUGUUUCUUGCCUAUUUAUUCUCAAGAAAUGCAAGCUCUGGGAGCCAUCCUUGCUUCUUCCUCUAAUGAAGGAGGCAGAUAUACAUACCCAUCAAACCCUCUCAUUUAGGCUUUCAAGCUUAGGCUCUUAUUCUUAAUGCUUCUGAUUGCUCAAGAUGACAGAGGAAAAAUCACUUUCUAUUAUCACCUAAUGAACCAAGGAAAAUGCUUGGAAGAGGUUCUGGGAGACACAGGCAUCCUCUGUGAAAGCAUAUAAGAGGAUUCUGGAUGGAGGUCAGGUGAGAAGGCCACGCAGGGAGAAGAACUGCUCGCUCUUAACGCUCCCAGAAAACCUUCGUGCCUGGCAUACCUAGAACUGCACUGAGCCCUCUGCAGAGGCUUGAGAACUACUUCAGACUUCCUUUGACUCCAUCUUCUUUGGAACUUGGCUUCCUGGGACUGACCUCACUUUUCACAGGGGAGUGGGUAUUUUUUCUCAAAGCCCUCUUUCUUUUUUACAGCCGUAAGGGUUACUGUUCUUCUUCCAUCUCCAAUCUUAAUGGCAACUUCACCUCCAAGUGUAGGGAGAGCUCGGCCACAGCCCUCUUCAAAGACAAGUCUCCAGGAGGGGUCACAGGAGAGCAGAAGAAGGAUGGCCUUCAUCCUCCAGGAACAAACCCUUCUGCAGUACUUCUAGACUUCUCAGAUCUCUGUGGUUUGGAUGCACACUCAAAUCUAACAGCACUUGGCCUUACCAUCCAGUCUGCCCCUAUUAAACAGCAGUAACGAAGCCUUUCCUAACACAGGGAAUUCUUAUUUACCUUCUAUUUUCAAGGUGACUUCCCAUGGGGUUUUCCCACUGCAUCUCAGCCCCAUUGCUUUUUACCUCUAAGGAAACCAGGCUUAAACCUGGACCUAGUCAUAAGUGAGGUGAAUAUGCUGCGACUUCAUUCUCAAAGGGCAGCACCUACUUGGCUGUUUUAUUCCUGGAAAAAACAGGCACUUGCUGCCAGUCAUGACGUAGAUGUACUGGCCAAGCUGUGUAGAGGUCCAGCACUGGAGGAGGAAGGCCGUGUGACAGGGGCUCAAUACGAGGUGCAUGGCUUGGACCAGGCAGGGCUUCUUGCACACCCGUAAGAUGUUCUGGCAGAACUUGGUGAAGUUUGGGGGGAAUCAAGAGGCUAAAGUUACUAACAAGUCCUCCCUACCCCUCUCCACUGUAAUAAAGCACAAGAGCUCUGUCUGGAUGUCUUGAGUCGGACAGCAGGAGUCUCAAGUUGUUCCGAUCCGGUCUCGUAACAGUAGAGCUUUCAGGAUUAGUGUGAACAGAUUCACCACUGGAGAGCAGAUCAGAGAGAUCCAAGCAAAUCCACACACAUAUGGUUGGAGAGAGAACCGAGUACGCUUUGCAAAUUCCACACUGAGGAACUGGAACACAUUUUCAAGUCUGGGGGCACAAAUGACCAUGUCUUUUUGUUGUGUGUUUCCACAGCACCUAGCAAAGUGAAAGCAUGAUUCUGAAUUUGCUCACAGAGGGGUUACCACAGGAAACAUAGUAAAUAGCGAUCAUUUCCAACGUUUAGUUCUCCACCUCUGGAAUACAUCAUGUUGGAUUGAAACAAAACCUGGAUCUUUUAUUUCUCUCAGGUCAAAUGUGUUAACAACUGUAAAGAGCUAGCUGUGCUGUAAAGCGUUUUACAAGAAGAGAUGGUGCUUCAAGCACAGGUCUGAAAGUUAGGAGAGAAGUAUCUUCCUCCUUAUCCUAUCACCAGUUUCAUGGACAAAUUACUUAUCCUGGAUGUGCCUCCAUUAUUAGACCCAUAAAAGGAAGGGAAACUUCCUAGAUGUGAUUUGUUAUUUACAUGUGUGACAGUAAAUCUCUGAGUUUCUAACUGAGAUCAAAGGUCCUUUGUGCUGAGUGUUUUAAAAACUCAUUGCAGAUGCAGGCCCUGCCCCUUUACAGGAAAGACAGGUUGAGGCUGGGAGGAGAGAGACACCCAGGUACACGUAAAAUGACUAGCCUGAGUUCAGACACUAAUCCAGAGCUUCUGUCUUUCCAGGAUUCCAGGACAGAUGCCAUACGCGCCGUCUCUGGCACCAUCAUGCCUCUGCCUAAGCUACACUAAGCGAGCAGAUACAACGCUCUGUCUGCACAGCUGCAUCUGCAGCACUGGUCUUGCUGACCUUGUCGCAGCAGAAUUACCCUGACACUGUCACACCAGUGAUGGAAAGCAACAACUCUGUCGCUACCAAAUCGCUGAGCCUACCCAAAGACAGGGAAGGAGACCAAAGAGCCACACCACCACCUCCCGAGCCAGCCAGAUUCACACCGUCCCCAGGGUCCUUCACAGUCUCAGAGGACAUCAGUCUAGCAGCCAGGAUUCACUGCUUUUUGUCUUUUAUUCCUGGCCAGGUGUAGCCCAGCUCUCUGCUCGCUGCAUGUGAGCAGCCAGCCAUGCUGCCAGAGUCAUGCUCAGCGGGAUCAGUAUUGGAGGUAAUAGUAGCCUCAGGCCAGACUGCUUCAUUAUGAGAGAUAUUUUGACAGCCCAGCAGCAAGAGCAACAGCAGGGAGGGCACAGGUGGGUAUUCAGGGGAGCAGGGUUGGGAAGGAGGAUGCUGGAAAGGGCUUUGCCUCUGAAAAAAAAAUAUUUUCCCAGGAACUGGUGGGCCAUACCCUUUUUAAUCUCACUGAUACAGAACACUGCCUUUUACACCAAUUUAUUGGAGUGAAAAAGGAGCACCAUGGAACUACUGGAGUUUUUUCUCCUCAGAGUUUUUUCUGUCUUUCUUGAAAUUAGUCUCAUGGUAGCAUGAGCCCACACAACAAACCAGAGCUGUAAAUGGCAUACAUCCCUGUCCAAUGCAGGCAUUUUGUGUGCUUCCGAGAGAACAGCCUGGGACAGUCAAGGGUGGUUUAAGAAACUCUCUUCUUCUCAUCAAACUAUUUUCACAAAACACCUCUUCCAAAUCACCUUCCCUACAAGUGUAGCUAUGUGACCAGGCUAAGUAGAUCAGUACUCAAAAAAACUAGAGGAAUUAAAUGUCUGUUGGGGAGAAGUGAAGGAAGUUUUAUCUGGGAGGCAAAGACUCUAAUUUUAAACUAGCUGUUCUGUUCUUCUAAAUAAUGAAUAACUUCCCAGGCAGGGAACACAUUUUCUGUUCUCUCUCUGACUUGGUAUAGUGGCUGUGCUGUGCUGUAAACAGUCAUCUGGCCUAUAGCCUAGAGACCUUUGUAUGCUGCUACACAGGCUGCACAGCAAGAAUCACCCCGCGACAGCACUGGGAGGCCGCCUGUGCACUGAGUGACCAUUUUCCUUUGUGAUGUGUGUCCGAGGAUACGGCACUGCAAAACCUAUCAAAUGAUAGAAGGACUGAUUCAUCUCCCUUCCUUACUGGUUGAACUUCAAGCAUGUUGUGGUGACGUAAAUCAAAAUCGGCCUUGAGGUCCCUGCAACAAGAAGUUUAAAUUCAAAGGGCACAAGCCUAUUUCCAUUAAAACCAAUGGCAAAUUUUUACUGACUUCACGUUUCAGUGUUCUAGUCCCUCAUAACGUAGCUCGAAAUUGCUCUUCUCUGCAAAGGUUUUGGAAAACAACAAGCUUAGCUACACUCAAGUGAUGCCUCCGUGAUGUAAAAAGAGCACUUACAGAAAUCACCAAUGGAAUAAGGCCUUAAGUGUCAAACUAUCCUCUCUGACCCUUUACUUCUAAGACAAGAGCUGCCUUUUUUGCAGUUCCAGUCGCUGGACAGUUUCCCUGUGCUUCUCUCUGCAUUAACCAUAAUCUUUGUGCAUAUUGCAAUUAAAAAUGCAUCUUUCUCCCUUGUCUAGUCCUUUCUCCUCAGAGGUUAUUUAUUGCUAAUUUAUAGCUGUUGUGAAAGACUUGAGAUAUCAGGGUUGUAAUGCAGAAGAAAGCCUCCACCAACUUCUCUCUUUUUCCUAAAGCUUUUGUGCUACUCUGCUUCACUGCUAAGAAGAACUCACUGUAUCAGAAGAUGGUGAAAUGAUGCUCACGUUGUAUUAAUCUAAAGCUUGGCUGUGUCCCAACACUUGUAUAUCAGUUUUUGCUAUUCCAUUUCCCCAACUUCCUGCCCGCCUUCCCUCCUCCAAUCAUAGUAAC